UACGGGGGGGGCAAGCGUUGUUCGGAAUUACUGGGCGUAAAGGGCUCGUAGGCGGCCUGCUAAGUCGAACGUGAAAUCCCUGGGCUCAACCCAGGAACUGCGUCCGAUACUGGUUGGCUUGAAUCCGGGAGAGGGAUGUGGAAUUCCAGGUGUAGCGGUGAAAUGCGCAGAUAUCAGGAGGAACACCGGUGGCGAAGGCGGGUCUCUGGGCCGAUACUGACGCUGAGGAGCGAAAGCGUGGGGAGCGAACAGG
rnacentral:rRNA from 1 species